UACGAAGGGGGCUAGCGUUGCUCGGAACCACUGGGCGUAAAGCGCACGUAGGCGGACUCUUAAGUCAGGGGUGAAAUCCUGGAGCUCAACUCCAGAACUGCCUUUGAUACUGGGAGUCUUGAGUUCGGGAGAGGUGAGUGGAACUGCGAGUGUAGAGGUGAAAUUCGUAGAUAUUCGCAAGAACACCAGUGGCGAAGGCGGCUCACUGGCCCGAUACUGACGCUGAGGUGCGAAAGCGUGGGGAGCAAACAGG
rnacentral:rRNA from 1 species